CACGCGCCUGCGUGAGUGUGAGGGGCAGGACAGACAGACAGCCCGCCGGACCCGUCCUCCAGCCGCGCCGCCCGGCCUGCCGCCGACCGCGUCCCCUCGCCUCGCAGGCAGCCGGGACUUGGCUGCAGCCGGGAGCACAGCCGGGAGCGAAAUAUCCAGACUCCAAGUCUUCAAGCCACAUUCACCUUUUCCUCUCCGACCUCCAUUUGGAACCCAUUGCUAUAAGACAGAGGCGAUCUCUGGUAUUUCUCCCAUCCAUUUGCUUUUAUUGGAACCUCUUUCAUUAAGGUCUGGCCUGAGUAGUUUUGUUGUGCACAGAGCAUUAUGCCUUUCUGAAAGGCAGCAUCAUUUGAUUGAGGGGUGCACUGUUGCUCUUUUCUCAAGGAAAGGAAAGCUGAAGUGAUUUCUUUUCACCACUAGAAAGUCUCCCUAAGAG
rnacentral:lncRNA from 1 species